rnacentral:rRNA from 1 species
UAUUAUUCCAAGAUAAUUUUUUUCUGAGGUUAGUAAUAGAUAUUUACUUAAAAGCUAAAAAAUUUGGCGGUAAUUUAAUCUUUCCAGAGGAACUUGUUUUUUAAUCGAUAAACCGCGAAUUAUCUUACUUACUUUAAUAGAAGUUUGUAUACCGUCAUUAUCAGGUAAUUUUAAAAAAAUAAAUUUCUUAGUUUGAAAGUUUAUAAAAAUUAGAUCAUGGUGCAGCUUAUAGGUAAGUUAAAAUGAGUUACAAUAAAUUGUUUUACACGAAUAAUUAAAAGAAUUUUUAAUUUGAAGGAGGAUUUGGUAGUAUUCUAAGUUUAGUAUGCUUAGUAGAUGUCAGCCCUAAAUUAUGUACAUAU